UGGUCUUAGCUUGCUAAGGCUGAUGGCGACCGGCGCACGGGUGAGUAACACGUAUCCAACCUGCCGUCUACUCUUGGCCAGCCUUCUGAAAGGAAGAUUAAUCCAGGAUGGCAUCAUGAGUUCACAUGUCCGCCUGAUUAAAGGUAUUUUCCGGUAGACGAUGGGGAUGCGUUCCAUUAGAUAGUAGGCGGGGUAACGGCCCACCUAGUCAACGAUGGAUAGGGGUUCUGAGAGGAAGGUCCCCCACAUUGGAACUGAGACACGGUCCAAACUCCUACGGGAGGCAGCAGUGAGGAAUAUUGGUCAAUGGGCGAUGGCCUGAACCAGCCAAGUAGCGUGAAGGAUGACUGCCCUAUGGGUUGUAAACUUCUUUUAUAAAGGAAUAAAGUCGGGUAUGCAUACCCGUUGGCAUGUACUUUAUGAAUAAGGAUCGGCUAACUCCGUGCCAGCAGCCGCGGUAAUACGGAGGAUCCGAGCGUUAUCCGGAUUUAUUGGGUUUAAAGGGAGCGUAGAUGGAUGUUUAAGUCAGUUGUGAAAGUUUGCGGCUCAACCGUAAAAUUGCAGUUGAUACUGGAUGUCUUGAGUGCAGUUGAGGCAGGCGGAAUUCGUGGUGUAGCGGUGAAAUGCUUAGAUAUCACGAAGAACUCCGAUUGCGAAGGCAGCC
rnacentral:rRNA from 1 species